GAGGGGUGGUUGAACCAGCAGGAACUGCUAACUCUUGCAUCUGAGUUUAGAACCUCAGCCCCCUUA
rnacentral:tRNA from 1 species